rnacentral:rRNA from 1 species
UACGUAGGGCGCAAGCGUUGUCCGGAAUUAUUGGGCGUAAAGAGCUCGUAGGCGGUUUGUCACGUCUGGUGUGAAAAUCCAGGGCUUAACCCUGGACCUGCAUCGGGUACGGGCAGACUAGAGUGCGGUAGGGGAGAUCGGAAUUCCUGGUGUAGCGGUGAAAUGCGCAGAUAUCAGGAGGAACACCGGUGGCGAAGGCGGAUCUCUGGGCCGUAACUGACGCUGAGGAGCGAAAGCGUGGGGAGCGAACAGG